AGAGUUUGAUCCUGGCUCAGAAUCAACGCUGGCGGCGUGCCUAACACAUGCAAGUCGCACGAGAAAGGGGGGCAAUCCCUGAGUACAGUGGCGCACGGGUGAGUAACACGUGAAUGAUCUACCUCCGAGUGGGGAAUAACUGAGAGAAAUCUUAGCUAAUACCGCAUAACACUUACGAGUCAAAGCCAGCAAUGCGCUUGGAGAGGAGUUCGCGGCCGAUUAGUUAGUUGGCGGGGUAAUGGCCCACCAAGACGAUGAUCGGUAUCCGGCCUGAGAGGGCGCACGGACACACUGGAACUGAAACACGGUCCAGACUCCUACGGGAGGCAGCAGUGGGGAAUUUUGCGCAAUGGGGGAAACCCUGACGCAGCAACGCCGCGUGGAGGAUGAAAUAUCUUGGUAUGUAAACUCCUUUCGAUGGGGAAGAUUAUGACGGUA
rnacentral:rRNA from 1 species